AAAACAUAAUAGUAAUAAUCAUAAAAUAUAUUAUAAUAUAUUAUAUUUUAUAUUAUAUACAUACAUAUAUAUUAAUUAUAUACAAUUAUCUAUUAUAUACAAUUAAUUGAUCUAAAAAAAAAUCGGAGUUUAUGAUCAAAAUUUUUAUAUUAUUCGUGUCUUUGGUGUCGUGUCAAGGCUUAUGGCAUGACCAUCAAAUUAGGUGCUUAAUGUGUGACAGCAAAAAUGAUUAUUUAUGUGAUAAUAUACCAACGUGGAAUUUAAGUGAUCGAAGGCUGAAAUUUAUUUGGUGUUACAAAGGUUGCACAAUUUUAAAGGGUCAAUGGGGUAACGAAAAUGUAACAACCAAGAGAAAGGCAAGAAUGUGGCGCGGGUGUCUUAAUGGCUA